AAUAUUGGACAAUGGGCGAAAGCCUGAUCCAGCCAUGCCGCGUGUGUGAAGAAGGUCUUCGGAUGUAAAGCACUUCACGUUGGGAGGAAGGGCAGUAAGCUAAUAACUUGCAGUUUUUCCGUUACGGACAGCAUAAGCACCGGCUAACUUCGUGCCAGCAGCCGCUGUAAUACGAAGGGUGCGAGCGUUGUUCGGAAUUACUGGGCGUAAAGCGUAUGUAGGCGGAUCGUUAAGUUAGGGGUGAAAUCCCAAGGCUCAACCUUGGAACUUCCCUUGAUACUGGCGAUCUUGAGUCCGGGAGAGGUGAGUGGAACUGCGAGUGUAGAGGUGAAAUGCGUAGAUAUAGGAAGGAACACCAGUGGCGAAGGCGACUACCUGGACUGAUACUGACACUGAGGUGCGAAAGCGUGGGGAGCAAA
rnacentral:rRNA from 1 species